rnacentral:rRNA from 1 species
GAGUUUGAUCCUGGCUCAGAUUGAACGCUGGCGGCAUGCCUAACACAUGCAAGUCGAACGGCAGCACAGCAGAGCUUGCUCUGUGGGUGGCGAGUGGCGGACGGGUGAGUAAUACAUCGGGACCUACCCAGACGUGGGGGAUAACGUAGGGAAACUUACGCUAAUACCGCAUACGUCCUACGGGGGAAAGCAGGGGACCUUCGGGCCUUGCGCGGUUGGAUGGACCGAUGUGCGAUUAGCUUGUUGGUGAGGUAAUGGCUCACCAAGGCGACGAUCGAUAGCUGGUCUGAGAGGAUGAUCAGCCACACUGGGACUGAGGCACGGCCCAGACUCCUACGGGAGGCAGCAGUGGGGAAUAUUGGACAAUGGGGGCAACCCUGAUCCAGCAAUGCCGCGUGUGUGAAGAAGGCCUGCGGGUUGUAAAGCACUUUUAUCAGGAACGAAACACUGUCGGUUAAUACCCGGCGGGACUGACGGUACCUGAGGAAUAAGCACCGGCUAACUUCGUGCCAGCAGCCGCGGUAAUACGAAGGGUGCAAGCGUUAAUCGGAAUUACUGGGCGUAAAGGGUGCGUAGGCGGUUGGUUAAGUCUGUCGUGAAAUCCCCGGGCUCAACCUGGGAAUGGCAGUGGAUACUGGGAAGCUAGAGUGUGUCAGAGGAUGGUGGAAUUCCCGGUGUAGCGGUGAAAUGCGUAGAGAUCGGGAGGAACAUCAGUGGCGAAGGCGGCCAUCUGGGACAACACUGACGCUGAGCACGAAAGCGUGGGGAGCAAACAGGAUUAGAUACCCUGUAGUCCACGCCCUAAACGAUGCGAACUGGAUGUUGGUCUCAACUCGGAGAUCAGUGUCGAAGCUAACGCGUUAAGUUCGCCGCCUGGGGAGUACGGUCGCAAGACUGAAACUCAAAGGAAUUGACGGGGGCCCGCACAAGCGGUGGAGUAUGUGGUUUAAUUCGAUGCAACGCGAAGAACCUUACCUGGCCUUGACAUGUCUGGAAUCCUGCAGAGAUGCGGGAGUGCCUUCGGGAAUCAGAACACAGGUGCUGCAUGGCUGUCGUCAGCUCGUGUCGUGAGAUGUUGGGUUAAGUCCCGCAACGAGCGCAACCCUUGUCCUUAGUUGCCAGCGAGUCAUGUCGGGAACUCUAAGGAGACUGCCGGUGACAAACCGGAGGAAGGUGGGGAUGACGUCAAGUCCUCAUGGCCCUUACGGCCAGGGCUACACACGUACUACAAUGGUCGGUACAGAGGGUUGCAAUACCGCGAGGUGGAGCCAAUCCCAGAAAGCCGAUCCCAGUCCGGAUCGAAGUCUGCAACUCGACUUCGUGAAGUCGGAAUCGCUAGUAAUCGCGGAUCAGCUAUGCCGCGGUGAAUACGUUCCCGGGCCUUGUACACACCGCCCGUCACACCAUGGGAGUGAGUUGCUCCAGAAGCCGUUAGUCUAACCGCAAGGGGGACGACGACCACGGAGUGGUUCAUGACUGGGGUGAAGUCGUAACAAGGUAGCCGUAUCGGAAGGUGCGGCUGGAUCACCUCCUUUCUA